rnacentral:rRNA from 1 species
UACGAGAGGCCCGAGCGUUAGGCGGAAUCACUGGGCUUAAAGGGUGCGCAGGCGGACCGACAAGCGUGUUGUGAAAUCCCACGGCUCAAACGUGGAAUAGCGGUGCGAACUGUCGGUCUUGAGGCAGGUAGGGGCCAGCGGAACGUUCGGUGGAGCGGUGAAAUGCGUAGAUAUCGAACGGAACGCUGAUGGUGAAGACUGCUGGCUGGGCCUGUUCUGACGCUCAGGCACGAAAGCGUGGGGAGCAAACAGG